AUUGAACGCUGGCGGCAGGCCUAACACAUGCAAGUCGAGCGGAUGAAGGGAGCUUGCUCCUGGAUUCAGCGGCGGACGGGUGAGUAAUGCCUAGGUAUCUGCCUGGUAGUGGGGGAUAACGUCCGGAAACGGGCGCUAAUACCGCAUACGUCCUGAGGGAGAAAGUGGGGGAUCUUCGGACCUCACGCUCUCAGAUGAGCCUAGGUCGGAUUAGCUAGUUGGUGGGGUAAAGGCCUACCAAGGCGACGAUCCGUAACUGGUCUGAGAGGAUGAUCAGUCACACUGGAACUGAGACACGGUCCAGACUCCUACGGGAGGCAGCAGUGGGGAAUAUUGGACAAUGGGCGAAAGCCUGAUCCAGCCAUGCCGCGUGUGUGAAGAAGGUCUUCGGAUUGUAAAGUACUUUAAGUUGGGAGGAAGGGCAGUAAGUUAAUACCUUGCUGUUUUGACGUUACCAACAGAAUAAGCACCGGCUAACUUCGUG
rnacentral:rRNA from 1 species